rnacentral:rRNA from 1 species
AUUGAACGCUGGCGGCAGGCCUAACACAUGCAAGUCGAGCGGAUGAAGGGAGCUUGCUCCUGGAUUCAGCGGCGGACGGGUGAGUAAUGCCUAGGAAUCUGCCUGGUAGUGGGGGAUAACGUCCGGAAACGGGCGCUAAUACCGCAUACGUCCUGAGGGAGAAAGUGGGGGAUCUUCGGACCUCACGCUAUCAGAUGAGCCUAGGUCGGAUUAGCUAGUUGGUGGGGUAAAGGCCUACCAAGGCGACGAUCCGUAACUGGUCUGAGAGGAUGAUCAGUCAAACUGGAACUGAGACACGGUCCAGACUCCUACGGGAGGCAGCAGUGGGGAAUAUUGGACACUGGGCGAAAGCCUGAUCCAGCCAUGCCGCGUGUGUGAAGAAGGUCUUCGGAUUGUAAAGCACUUUAAGUUGGGAGGAAGAGCAGUAAGUUAAUACCUUGCUGUUUUGACGUUACCAACAGAAUAAGCACCGGCUAACUUCGUG